UUCAGAGGUCUCAAGCGUUGUUCGGAUUCAUUGGGCGUAAAGGGUGCGUAGGUGGCGCUGUAAGUCGGGUGUGAAAUUUCGGAGCUUAACUCCGAAACUGCAUUCGAUACUGCGGUGCUUGAGGACUGGAGAGGAGACUGGAAUUCAUGGUGUAGCAGUGAAAUGCGUAGAUAUCAAGCGGAACACCAGUGGCGAAGGCGAGUCCCUGGACAACUCCUGACACUGAGGCACGAAAGCUAGGGGAGCAAACAGG
rnacentral:rRNA from 1 species